rnacentral:rRNA from 1 species
GAUGAACGCUGACAGAAUGCUUAACACAUGCAAGUCUUUGGUGAAGCUGUGCUUGCACAGCCUAGCCAAGGCGGACGGGUGAGUAACGCGUAAGGAACUUGCCCUGCAGUCAGGGAUAACAGACGGAAACGACUGAUAAGACCUGGUAAAGUCAGGCGGACUCAUGUCCAGCCUGAUGAAAAGAGAUGCUGCAGGAGAGCCUUGCGUCCUAUUAGCUUGUUGGUGGGGUAACGGCCCACCAAGGCAAUGAUAGGUAGCCGGCCUGAGAGGGUGGACGGCCACAAGGGGACUGAGAUACGGCACUUACUCCUACGGGAGGCAGCAGUGGGGAAUAUUGGACAAUGGGGGCAACCCUGAUCCAGAAAUUCUGUGUGCAAGAUGAAGGUUUUCGGAUUGUAAAGUGCUUUCAGCAGGGAAGAAAAAAAUGACGGUACCUGCAGAAGAAGCGACGGCUAAAUACGUG